AAGAGUCCACUUCCCCACAUAUCAAACAACUAAUAAGAAGCUACAAGGAGGUUUUUUCAAUUGCCACAAGGCUUACCACCUUCACGGAGCAGGGAACAUGCCAUCAAUCUUCAACCAGGUAUGGCCCCCAUCACUUGCAAACUGUAUCGAUACUCUUACACUCAGAAGAACGAUAUGGUCAAACUAUUAAAAGAGAUGCUGGAUGCUGAGAUUAUUCGUCCUAGUAUCAGCCCUUUUUGCAGCCCAGUUCUAUUGGUUAAAAAGAAUUAUGGAGGGUGGUGUUUUUGCAUGGACUACAGGGCCUUGAACAAGGCAACAGUACUGGAUCGUUAUCCUAUUCCAGUCAUUGAAGAGUUCUUGGAUGAGCUGAGUCGAGAAACAAUCUUCUCUAAAAUUGACCUCAAGUCUGGAUAUCACCAGAUACGUAUGCACACGACAGAUGUGGAAAAAACGACAUUUAGAACACAUGAAGGUUUACAGCCCCACAUAAGAGUCCCACAUCGAACAUCUGGAAUUAGUUCUUAACAUCUUGUUGCACAGUCAGUUCUAUGCCAACGAGAAAAUAUGUUGCUUUGGGAGCUCCAAAAUUGCAUACUUGGGCCAUGGAGCGUCAGCAGAUCCAACAAAAGUGGCAACAAUGGAGGUUCAUGGCAGGGUAUGGCAAGAUAGCAAAGCCGUUAACUGAGCUCUUAAAGAAAGGUAAAUUUGAAUGUAAUAUGGCAACCAUCUAUGCAUUUGAAAACUUGAAGCAAAGCGUUACACGGCUGCCAACUUUGUCACUACCCGAUUUUGAUGAACCUUUUAUCAUUGAAACGGAUGCAUCUGGUUCUGGAAUUGGAGUAGUUCUGUCUCAAAGGAAAAAUCCCAUAACAUUCAUCAGUCAAGGGUUUUCAACCAAAGGGCGUGUGAAAAAUGUUUAUGAGUGGGAGUUGUUAGCCAUAGUUUUUGCAGUGGACAAAUGGAAGCAUUAACUCAUUGGGAAUGCAUAAAGUUGUGACUGAGUUUGGAUUUUAUUGAAGGAUUACUCAUCUCCAAAGGAUUUGAUGUAAUCCUAGUCGUGGUGGAUAGGCUCAACAAAUAUGGAUAUGUUUUGGCUCUCAAGCACCCAUUCACUACGAGAAUAGUAUCAAAAGUUUUUAUCAAGGUGAUUGUUAGGAUCCAUGGCUUUCCUGAGAUUGUGGUCUCUGAUAGAGCUAAGAUACUUGUUAGCAGUUUUUGGGAUGAUAUUUUAGAGCUCAUGGGACAGCGCUGCACAAGAGUACCACUUAUCACCCCUAGACAGACGGACAAACAGAAGUGCUCAACAGGUGUUUAGAAACGUAUUUCUGCUGUUUUGUUAAUAGUAAACCAAAAACUUGAGCUCAAUGGAUGAUGUGGGCAGAGUACUCAUACAACACAUCAUACCAUUCCACCAUCCAGAUGACUCCUUAUCAAGCAAUUUAUGGUCGUGAACCUCCCAAGUUGAUCAGGUUUGGGAUUACUCCCACUGCCAAUGCUCAUGUGGAGGACUUACUACAGGAGAGAGAUGAUUUGGUGACAAUGCUUUGAGAGAACUGCACGAUGCACAAGCAAGGAUGCAGAAGGCAGCGAACAAGCAUAGGCGUGAGUUUGAGUUUAAGGUGGGUGAUUGGGUCUAAUUGAAGUUGUGUCAUUACAGGCAAGUAUCUAUGGCUCAAUGAAGAAACGAGAAGCUAGCCCCUAGAUUCUUUGGACCCUACAUGGUGACUAAGCGCAUUGGUAUUGUGGCUUACAAAUUACAGCUCCCAAAUUUCAAUCUAGGGAUUUGAUCCCUUUUACUCCUUGAUCUUCUUUGGUAUCUCCCUUGUUCCAUAUAAAGGAUUCAAUUCAUAACAUCUGCAAAACUCAACAGUGAUGGUAUGCGUAAUCUAUAUCUCCAGUCUAAUCUUCAACGGGUUCCACUGAUGAUCUUUUACAUCAUUUAUGAUGUGAUCAUGGAUGGAGCUAAGGUGGAGGAGCUUGUAGCUGAGCUUGAACCUAAGGAAUAUGUAUCUGAGCUUGAACCCGAGGAGCUUGUAGCUGAGGAACCAUUACUUGUACCUAAAAGACCAAGGACUCGAGCGAAAGCUAAGCAGCUGAGGAAUGCAUUUAAUGGGCUAAUUCAGGAGCUUAUGGCCAAAGAGAGCAUGAGAAAUUAUAUUGGGGAUGAUAUCUAUCAAAUUCAGCCUACUUUGAGCCUAAUUCAAGUCCAAGAAAGCCCAAAAUAAUGACUUUAUUUUGUGGUCAAAGAGGAGUGACAAAAAUAGAGUGAUUCUCUUCACCUUGGGAAAGGAAACAGUAAGGGGGUGUUAUUCAAGGAAAGAUUUUAAUGGAUUUCAAAGUAUUAGUAAAUUUCAGAGUCCAAUAGUUUUACAAAUGCAUUGAAGGUGGAUUUGGAUGUCAUCAUGAUGGUUUUGAAAGUCAU